rnacentral:RNase_P_RNA from 1 species
UGAGCCGACCGGGUAAACGCGUCUUUGUAGCGAACCAGCCUUUUCUAAGGCCAGGCGCGGGACGAGGAAAGUCCGGACUCCACAGAGCACGGUGGUUGCUAACGGCAACCCGGGGUGACCCGCGGGCAAGUGCAACAGAAAGUAGACCGCCGCGCUUCGGCGCGCUUCGGCGCGUUGUGGUGCGGUAAGGGUGAAAGGGUGCGUUAAGAGCGCACCAGCAUCGUCAGCGAUGGCGAUGGCUGGGUAAACCCCACCGGGAGCAAGGCAUCAUGGCCGGCCCUUGUGGCGGGCUUGAUCAGGCGCGGGUAGGCUGCUCGCCGAAGCCUGAAGGUAGCCGCUUGAACCAGCUGGCAACGGUUGGUCUAGAUGGAUGUUUACCCUUCGACAGAAUCCGGCUUAUAGGUUGACUCAUUCG